AACCUCCGCAAUGUGAGAAACCGCGACGGGGGGAUCCCAAGUGCCAUUCUUAACGGGAUGGCUUUUCAUUAGUGUAAAGAGCUUUUGGAAUAAGGGCUGGGCAAGACCGGUGCCAGCCGCCGCGGUAACACCGGCAGCUCUAGUGGUAGCAGUUUUUAUUGGGCCUAAAGCGUCCGUAGCCGGUUUAAUAAGUCUCUGGUGAAAUCCUGUAGCUUAACUGUGGGAAUUGCUGGAGAUACUAUUAGACUUGAGACCGGGAGAGGUUAGAGGUACUCCCAGGGUAGAGGUGAAAUUCUGUAAUCCUGGGAGGACCGCCUGUUGCGAAGGCGUCUAACUGGAACGAUUCUGACGGUGAGGGACGAAAGUUAGGGGCGCGAACCGGAUUAGAUACCCGGGUAGUCCUAACUGUAAACGAUGCGGACUUGGUGUUGGGGUGGCUUUGAGCUGCUCCGGUGCCGAAGGGAAGCUGUUAAGUCCGCCGCCUGGGAAGUACGGUCGCAAGACUGAAACUUAAAGGAAUU
rnacentral:rRNA from 1 species